UUACUCGACGAUCAAUGAUCCUUGCCACGCCAUUAUAAAUAUUGAAUACAUUCAUAAAAUCAAUGAUUUACUAUUUUUAUUUAUAACUUUGUACAUUAUAUUUGUUUGAAAAUUAAAUUUUAACAAUAAUAUUAUAGAUGAAAUAAAAAGAAUUACUAAAAAACCACUGAAUCAUACAUAGUGAUAAUAUUUGAAAUUCUGAAAGAUAGUUUUUCGAGCAGUAGUUAUCAAAACAUAGUGACUAUAUAACUUGUCGAAUGCAAAAAGAAAGCUACUCAACCGAAGAUAGUUGGAAGGUGCAUAUGAUAGAUGACAGUAUUAAGCAAUAUCCAUGCACAUAAGCGGUUACGUGCAAAAACCGGUUCUCUGAAUCGUUACACUUGAAAGGCUAGUUCCGAAUGGUCAAAACGGCACAAGGUGAAAGUAGAAUGAUAAAAAGAAAAUUUGAAAUUUAUAAAACAAGAAUCACCCGUUGAAAUAUCCGGGUAGCACGUGUAACGUGAGAAAGAGAUGCAUGUACCGUUUGAUCACAAUUUCGUGAUUACAUUCUUAUAUUCGGUAUGGACUAUUGGCUAACCUAAUUCGUAAAGCUGAUCGUAUUUUUCGAUCACAUAUUUGACGUGAACAUAACUACGGAAAAUAAACACGUAUCGUGGUAUGUUCAUCGUCGCUUAAUCGUUUCAUCACAAAGAUUAAAGAAAUAUAAAAAAUAGUUUACUGCUAAAUUAUUUAUAAUGGCUGUGUCUAACAAGUGGGAGAACGCUUGUAGAUUAUGUUCAGAAGAGAAAAAUGAAAUGUUAUCAAUUUUUGGUAAUGAAGGUGUACAACGUAAAGUAGCACAAAAAUUACGUGCUUGUCUGCCAGUCUUAGUAUACAAAACCGAUCCACUGCCAAAGCAAAUAUGUCAGUUCUGUGCCGCAAGGCUAGAUGAUGUUUAUGAAUUUAGAGAAUAUUGUUUGAGUGUUUACAAAAGUAUGUAUUUGAAAUUGUUAGCAUAUAAGGAUAUUGAAUCUGUUCAGAUUUAUUUAGAAGCAAUGAAAAAUUCUCCUGAUCCUUGUCAGUCUCAAUUAUGGAGAGAAAAGGCUAGAGCACCACCACCUUUGGUACCUUUGCCAGUUUCACUGCCAAUUGAAAGUCCAUCAAUGUCAAUAGAUAUUAAUCAAGAGCAUCAAAAUAGUUGCAUGGAAUCAUUACCUGAAUUACCAUGUGAAGUAGAAAUUAAAGAAAUGACUACAGAAUCAAUAUUAGAAACAGAUGUUAGUGCAUAUGAAUCAUCACAUAAAAACUGUAUAGAAAAUGAGUUAUAUGAUAGAUUAAAUAUAAUAGUAAAUCAUAAUACAAAUUUAUUAAAAAAUGAAAAUAAUGUCUCAAGACAAAAAAUAAAGGAGGAAGAAAAAAGAACUAGUAUUUUAGAACAAGUACUGACAGGUAGUUUAACAAUGAAUGACAGAAAAGAUUUAAAUUCAGAAACAAAAUUAUCAUCUAAAUGGUGGUGUACUCCUUGCAAUAGUUACUAUAAAACAAAGGAGAGCUUAAUGAAACAUAUGCAGUUACACUGUCCAAGAAAAUAUAAUUGUAGAAAAUGUUCUGCUUGCUUUGAAUUAGUAGAAGAUUUAGCUAAACAUGAAGCUACUAAUCACUUGAAAGUAACAUUAGAUUUUGAUAGAAGUGUUAUAGAUUGUGAUCAAUGUGAUAGACAAUUUGUGAGUUGGGAAAUGUUAAAGAAACACAGAUUACGUGAUCAUUUAACUCAAAUAAAUGAAAUUGGGACCAAUACUUGGUGCUCUUUAUGUAAUAGAUUUUUCCCAAGUACAGAAGCUUAUCAAAGUCACAUUCAAUUGCAUGAAGUCAGUAAUUCAACAAAAACAUUGCAAUUAACGAAUCAGCAAUCAAUAAAAAUUCUCAAAAACGAAGAAUCUUCAAAGGAAGUGAAAAGAGAACAUUUUACAGAUACUACUAAAUCACUUACAUGUCCUACUUGUGGAAAAAUUUGUACUCAACAAAGUGCAUUAUCAAAUCACAUGCGUACUCAUGAACCAAAAAGACACAAAUGUGAUAUAUGCGGUCGAUCUUUUGGACUUUUUAUACGUUUAGCAGCACAUAGAAUGAGCGAACAUAGUCAAGAACCUACAGUGUCACUUGUAAUGACUAGUGUUGAACAAGAAGAAGUAUUAAAUGCUGAAAGGGAAGCUAAAGAGGCAAAAGAAGCCAGAACUCGUGCAAAAACUAGAACAUAUUCAGAGAUGAUGGAAGAUAUUUCUAAUCAUGAAGAUUUACCAUCGAAAAGAAAUGUUCCAUUAAAUACUAAUGCAUUUAAAAAUGUUGCAAGAUGUGGUAUUUGUUUACAAUGGUUCAGUGAUCAUACUACAAUGUUAACGCAUUUAAGAACACAUUCAGACAAUUAUACUUGUAAAAAUUUCACUUGUCACAUAUGUAAAAAAUCUUUCAAAGAAAAGUGGCAAUUAUUUAGACAUGAGGUAUCUCAUAAACGAAAUGAAUCGACAUCAAUGUACAUAUGCACAGUAUGUAACAAAUCAUUUGUAGACAAAAAUAUAUAUAAAACGCAUCAAAAAUCUCACGUUAUUGAUAAAACAUAUCAUUGUUCAAAAUGUAAUAAAAUAUUUUUCAAAGAAGUAUCUCUAUUAACACAUCAAUGUACGGCAGAAACUGUGCUCAGUAAAAAAGGUGUUUCUUCAAAGACUUCACAAAAAUCUAUGUCAGUUAGUAACAGCAAAAAAUAUAAAUGUACCAAGUGCAACGCCUCUUUUAGUAGUUUUCAAUCUAAAAACUCUCAUAUGAGAAUACACAUGGAAAGUUCAUAUACAAUGGUGCGAAAACAAGAUUUAAAGAAAGAGUCAAAAGAAGAAGAAAAAGAAGAAGAAGAAGAAGAAGAAGAAGCUAUGCCAAAAUUAAUUCCUGAAACAUCAUUGGAAUAUUCUAUAUCUCCUAUUGAACCGAAAAUAGAAAUAAAUGAAGAAAGUGCACCACCUCCGAUUAAACGAACCUUAAUCAAGACAAUGGGCGGGUAUCGAUGCGGAGUAUGUCAAUCUCCAUUUGUUUUACGAGAAUUAGCUGUUGCACAUUUAAGAUCUGCACAUCCUCUGAUGCCAUAUCAAUGUCCUUAUUGUAAAAAACGAUUUACUACGCAAUAUACAUUCACGCAUCAUAUUAAAACAGAUCAUCCUGAUGAACACGAGAAUUGAAUUGUACAAGUUAAAAUGCCAAAUGGUUAUUAUACCAUAAAAUAAUGCCUUCAAAAAGGGAGACUGGAUUAGAACUAGUACUUAUACUGAACGUGCCUAUUUAAGUACUGUAUUAUAGUGCUAUAUGAAUUUUUAGUCAAAUUGAUUUAUAAAUGCCGAAGAGAUAUAUUAUCAAAUUAGAUAUUGUAUAUAUUGUUUAUUAGUGACAGUUUCACAAAGUUGUAUAAAAGUGUUAUCUUGUUUAUAUAAUUUGUUAGUAUUGACAGACAUUCCUUUUUUUUUUCUUUUUUUUUAAAUAAGAAAAUUUUUGAAAUUCUAA